AUUGAGAAAAAAACCUAGAUUAGGGGUACAGGUAA
rnacentral:piRNA from 1 species